rnacentral:rRNA from 1 species
CCUACGGGAGGCAGCAGUGGGGAAUUUUGGACAAUGGACGCAAGUCUGAUCCAGCCAUGCCGCGUGUGGGAAGAAGGCCUUCGGGUUGUAAACCACUUUUGUCAGGGAAGAAACGGCUCGGGUUAAUACCUUGGGCUAAUGACGGUACCUGAAGAAUAAGCACCGGCUAACUACGUGCCAGCAGCCGCGGUAAUACGUAGGGUGCAAGCGUUAAUCGGAAUUACUGGGCGUAAAGCGUGCGCAGGCGGUUAUGCAAGACAGAUGUGAAAUCCCCGGGCUCAACCUGGGAACUGCAUUUGUGACUGCAUGGCUAGAGUACGGUAGAGGGGGAUGGAAUUCCGCGUGUAGCAGUGAAAUGCGUAGAUAUGCGGAGGAACACCGAUGGCGAAGGCAAUCCCCUGGACCUGUACUGACGCUCAUGCACGAAAGCGUGGGGAGCAAACAGGAUUAGAUACCCUGGUAGUCCACGCCCUAAACGAUGUCAACUGGUUGUUGGGAGGGUUUCUUCUCAGUACGUAGCUAACGCGUGAAGUUGACCGCCUGGGGGAGGUACGGCCGCGAGUAGAACGUACGAAGUAGAGUAGUACGCGUGAGACGUGCCGACGGACGACGACGAGGGAGGAGG